rnacentral:rRNA from 1 species
AUGGUUCUCCUCCCAAAAACACAUGCACCAACCUCGCCCGAUGCUUUUCGACCGAUCUCACUACAAAACUGCACUCCAAAAGCUGUAGCUAAGGUUCUCACAAACAGAGUAAAACCACUCAUCCCGCUUCUCAUACACUAUGAUCAAACCGGUUUCCUUCACGGACGCAACAUCGCCGAAAAUUUCAUUUAUGCUGCUGACAUCCUCAGCGCUUGCCACACAAGAAAAGCCCCGACUAUGGUCCUCAAGCUUGAUUUCAGGAAAGCUUUUGAUUCCAUUUUCUGGUCCUCUCUUAUUCAAAUCCUACAAGCACGGGGUUUCCCUCCCAUCUUCUGUUCAUGGGUCCAAAACAUCUUACACACUGGCAAAACGGUUGUUCUCCUAAAUGGCAAUCCAGGAUCCUGGAUCCAAUGUAGGUGUGGCCUCCGGCAAGGUGAUCCCUUCUCGCCAUACUUGUUCAUCAUCGUUGCAGAUGUUCUUCAAAGAUUAAUCGCCAAGGCUUUCCAAACAAACGAAUUAUGCCACCCGCUUCGACCAAACAACCACCAGUGA